GCCCGCAUGGCUUAGUGGUACAGCGUCGCACUCGUAAUGCGAAGAUCCCUGGUUCGAUUCCGGGUGUGGGCA
rnacentral:tRNA from 1 species